rnacentral:misc_RNA from 1 species
AAGUCGUAACAAGGUCUCCGUUGGUGAACCAGCGGAGGGAUCAUUACCGAGUCACGUGCUCAAACAACCCUUCUGUGGACCUAAAUUUAAAUCGUUGCCUCGGCGGGCGGUCCCCUGUCAAAACCCACGUGGUGCAGGCAGGGGACCAGACAGCCCGGUACGCUUAAGGCGUCCGGCGCCAGCCGCUGGCCCCAAACAAUUAAACUCUAGUAACCUUACCUUCUGAGUUUUAAUACAAAAACAAAUAAGUCAAAACUUUCAACAACGGAUCUCUUGGCUCUG